rnacentral:rRNA from 1 species
AGAGUUUGAUCCUGGCUCAGGAUGAACGCUGGCGGUCUGCUUAACACAUGCAAGUCGAACGGGGUUCUUCGGAACCUAGUGGCGGACGGGUGAGUAACGCGUGAGAAUCUGCCCUUAGGACGGGGAUAACGACUGGAAACGGUCGCUAAUACCCGAUGUGCCGAGAGGUGAAAAGAUUUAUUGCCUGAGGAUGAGCUCGCGUCUGAUUAGCUAGUUGGUGGGGUAAUGGCCCACCAAGGCUGCGAUCAGUAGCUGGUCUGAGAGGAUGAUCAGCCACACUGGGACUGAGACACGGCCCAGACUCCUACGGGAGGCAGCAGUGGGGAAUUUUCCGCAAUGGGCGCAAGCCUGACGGAGCAAGACCGCGUGCGGGAAGACGGCCUGUGGGUUGUAAACCGCUUUUGACCGGGAAGAAGUCUGACGGUACCGGUCGAAUCAGCCUCGGCUAACUCCGUGCCAGCAGCCGCGGUAAUACGGAGGAGGCAAGCGUUAUCCGGAAUUAUUGGGCGUAAAGCGUCCGCAGGUGGUUGGUCAAGUCAGCUGUCAAAGCGUGGGGCUUAACUCCAUAAAGGCAGUUGAAACUGACUAGCUAGAGUGCGAUAGGGGCAAGGGGAAUUCCCAGUGUAGCGGUGAAAUGCGUAGAUAUUGGGAAGAACACCGGUGGCGAAAGCGCCUUGCUGGGUCUGCACUGACACUGAGGGACGAAAGCUAGGGGAGCGAAAGGGAUUAGAUACCCCUGUAGUCCUAGCUGUAAACGAUGGGUACUAGGCGUUGUCCGUAUCGACCCGGGCAGUGCCGUAGCUAACGCGUUAAGUACCCCGCCUGGGGAGUACGCACGCAAGUGUGAAACUCAAAGGAAUUGACGGGGACCCGCACAAGCGGUGGAGUAUGUGGUUUAAUUCGAUGCAACGCGAAGAACCUUACCAGGGUUUGACAUGUCCGGAACCCUCUUGAAAGAGAGGGGUGCCUUCGGGAACCGGAACACAGGUGGUGCGUGGCUGUCGUCAGCUCGUGUCGUGAGAUGUUGGGUUAAGUCCCGCAACGAGCGCAACCCUCGUUCUUAGUUGCCAGCAUUUAGUUGGGCACUCUAGGGAGACUGCCGGUGACAAACCGGAGGAAGGUGGGGAUGACGUCAAGUCAGCAUGCCCCUUACGCUCUGGGCUACACACGUACUACAAUGCUUCGGACAAAGGGCUGCCAACUCGCGAGAGUGCGCUAAUCCCAUAAACCGAGGCUCAGUUCAGAUUGCAGGCUGCAACUCGCCUGCAUGAAGGCGGAAUCGCUAGUAAUCGCAGGUCAGCAUACUGCGGUGAAUACGUUCCCGGGUCUUGUACACACCGCCCGUCACACCAUGGGAGUUGGCCACGCCCGAAGUCGUUAUCCUAACCCAUGUGGAGGGAGACGCCGAAGGCAGGGCUGAUGACUGGGGUGAAGUCGUAACAAGGUAACC